CGCACGGGCCCAUAUUGGCUGACGUUUUUUCAUUAAUAACAUACUAAAAAUCAUCCAUUUCAUGACACUUGAUGUUGAAAUACCCUAACUGACACCAGUCCACGAAAUGACCAACAGCGAGUCUCGCCCUGCCUCCUCACUGAGUGACACCAGGCGUGAAAACAGAUGUCUUAUAUCUUGCUUUGUGCAUAUACCAAUGCAAAACAUGGACAGGACGUACAUUUAUUUUUAUUUACUUGGGGUGGCCAACCUCACUUUCCAAUGUAUGAUUUGUGACUUUGAAAGUAUGCAGCUGUAAAACGAGGGUGCACCCCGUUGAAUGACGAGAGAAUGAGAAAAUUACAUUUCAAAAUACUUUGGGUAAUCUUAGUAACAGAGAUGAUAUUUUUAUUUUAACGGACAGGUGCUUGAGCAUCCCCUAGUGGCUUGUGUACACGUGCCGGGCGACGACGAUACAGUAUACUGUAUAGAUAUUUUUUUGGUGAGAUUUGUUUUGGUGGUGGCCCGUGACAUUCUUCUAAUGACGUGUGCCUUGGCUAGAUUGGAAGAGUUGGGAGACAGCGGCGCACACGGCAUUCAGCAUCAACCCUUCAUUUGGGCAAAUGACUUUCGGUGAGCCGUGGAAGCAAACAAAUGUUCACAUCAUUUUGACUGCAAUUUUGUCCGGCGUCGCUGUCGCGCAACGUGCACGCGCACAUUAAUGACCGCACUUCGUCUUUCCUCCCUCAAGAGAAGUCAACAAAGUGCACGUGCGUCGGUCCAAUCAUGUCAACGAGCCGCACCGCGCAGCACCAGGACAGGGACCCCGGCCUGGGCCGGACCUUCCGACAGUGGUGCCUGCGGACGUACGCGGAGUCUGGUAAGACGAAGACGGUGACGCGGCGCAAGUACGACAACAUCCUGCAUGCUCUGUUGCACGACGACCACCAGCAUCAAAACCCCAAGAACGCCAAGUUCAAGGUCUGGAUCAAGUCCAAAGGCUUCCAGGUCGGGACGCUGCGAGACGCCUGUAGGACAGGAAGUACCGACGCCAAAGUCCUCCUUGUGCCCGUCAAGACGAUGUGUGCGGACGGGGCAUCCCUGAAACGAGUGGCCGUGGUGGAGGAUUUCUACGACAUCAUCUUCGCCAUGCACGUGAAGGAGGUCGGAGAACCGGGGAAAGCUCCCUGGCACGUUGGCCAGAAAAAGACCUACAAAGCCAUAGCAGAGAUGUACGCCUUCUUGCCUCGGGAGGCGGUCACGCGCUUCCUGAUGAGCUGCGGCGAGUGUCAGAAAAGGAUGCAUGCCGGCGCACAAGGCUCUGAAGGUCAUGUGACCAUAGGGCGACUCACUUGUGAUCCUAUCUCGUCGUGCCCCUCAGAGAACGACAUGCCCGAGGGCUCGUCGUCAGACGCUGCCGACUGCUGCGAUCGACGUGACGACGACAACAUUGAUGACGCGUCAGUGAGCGGCGAGGACAAGGCCGACAUGAGCGAGCCCUCGUGGCUGGCGGCCGACCCAGGAGCGACGUCGCAGCUGCGGCCGGCCGGCCGGCCGGAGGCCACGCGCCGCAGCCCCACCGUGGCUGGCAGCAGGGAGGACGACGACGAUUCAUCAUCUGAGAGCGGCAGCGGCCUUCCCACGCUCACGCCGCCGUCCUCCUCCUCCAGCGCUCUCGUCAGGGAGGUGGAGGUCAUCAACGGCAACUGUGGGUCUGCCCCGCUCGACUUCAGCACGCCCGCGUCGUCAUCCUCCGAGGACCGGCGGCCCGUGAGCCUGAGCGAGCUCCCCCCUCAGAGGCUGGCGCUGGCGGGCGCCUCCCACCUGCCCGUCACCGUGUCGGCGGCGGCGGCUGCCCUGCUGGGGGCCCUGCAUCCCAAUGUGCCCGAGGAGCUGCGCAGGAAGUACCCGCUGGCCGCCAAACCUCCACUGGCGCCUCACCCCGCGCUGCCUGGGCCACAUGCGCGCACCCCACACACGCACGCUGGCGAGCUGCGAUUGGACCGCGACUAUGGUGGCAAGUCUCCCGUGUACAGUUCGGGCGGCAGCUACGACAGCGUCAAGAUGGAGGCUAGCGCCGAGGACCUGAGCGCCGGCCGUCUUGGGGGCGCCGCCGCCCCCGACGACGAUGACGAUGAGCACGACGAGCACGACGACAGCGACAAGAUCAACGACACGGAGGGCGUGGAUCCGGAGCGACUGAAGGCCUUUAACAUGUUUGUGCGUCUAUUUGUGGACGAGAACUUAGACCGGAUGGUUCCCAUCUCCAAGCAGCCCAAAGAGAAGAUCCAGGCUAUCAUCGAGUCCUGCAGCAGACAAUUCCCGGAAUUCCAAGAACGAGCUCGCAAGCGCAUUCGCACCUACCUCAAAUCCUGCCGACGCAUGAAGAGGAGCGGCAUGGAGACCCGGCCCACUCCACCUCACCUCACCUCCGCCAUGGCGGAGAACAUCCUGGCCGCCGCCUGCGAGAGCGAAUCGCGCAACGCUGCCAAGAGGAUGCGCUUGGACGCCUAUCACGAUGAACCCAACUCGCUGGAUAAAUUGUCCGGCGGCGGGGGUGGCAGUGGCAUUGGCGGUGGCGGUGGCGGUGCUCUGAGAGAGCCGGCGUCACUUGUUCCCUCAACCUACUCCCUGGCCGCCCCCGCCUUCCCCAAUCAGGAGUCGCAGGUCUACAUCAACGGUGCCGGCCUCAGCUACGGUUAUCGUGGAUACCUGGGCGCUGCAGUGCAGCAUCCUGUUUCCCUGACGACUGGCGCCGCUCCUCAGAGCAACGGCCCUACAGACCUCAGCAUGAAGUCGCUCUCAUCCAGCAACGUGGCCGCCACCGCCAACCACUGUCUGGGUGGGCGGGGCGGGGGCGGGGCCUCGGCCCAACUCAGCCAACCGGAGAUAGCGGCUGUGCGUCAGCUGGUCGCCGGAUACCGGGAAUCGGCGGCCUUCCUGCUGCGCUCUGCCGACGAGCUGGAGAACCUCAUCUUGCAGCAGAACUGAAGAGCGCAGGCAGAUGGGCACACACUUGCACACAUUUUCAGCCUUUGCCGGACAACUUCUAGGAGAAAAUGUGGCAAACGUAUGAAAUCCUUGGUGAGCACUUAAGGAGGUUAUCCUGUUCUUCUGGCAAUCAGCGUGAGCCUCAGAGAAAGAGCGACUUUGGCCCCUUUGGGAAGCCCUCUUGGACACUCCGGCUUGUACAUAGAAGCACUUUUCCCCACUGCCCUUCCUGCUACUUCAUAUGCACCUCGGACGCCUGUUGACCAGAGCAGGAAAUACCUCAAUCAUCCACUUCCUGCCCUGCUGCUGUAAAUACUCAGCUGAUGAUGUGAAGGAUGAACGUGUGUGUGUGUGUGUGUGUAUAUGCGUGCAUGAUUGUGUGCUAAAUGCUAAUGACUACUCCUUUAUUACCUCCCACGCUAACGUGGCCGUCACGUUUCUUCGGACCUCCUCCGUCUCUUCUCGAUGGACCUAAAGCUCCUGCCCCUCCUCGCUGGCGCCUCCCAGAGGACGAGGAGAGCAUUGGGAUUUUGCUGCUAAAACGAGAGGCGGCAUUUCUGCCAUCGACACACGCGAGACCUCACAAACGGCGGCGAUGACGGAACACCAAAUGCUUUCUUGUGUUGCGUGUCUCGUUUGGACUAUUCCGGAUAUUCGGCAACAAGUCGCAAUGCCUCCGUUAUUGGCCAACAUUUGUUAUCUGGAUCAUCCAGUGAUUUGUUGCGAGGAAAACGUCGUACAGGUAGUCAACAAGUUGGUGACGUUACUGGAUUUCAGUUCAGUGAGCAGCUUUGAUUAGUCACAAAUAUGACAAUAACUUGUCUUAAUAUCCCAUUUUAUUUAAAAAGAGCAACAUUUUAAGUCCAACGUGAACUUCGUACACACAUCGUCAACAAAAGAACUGGAUGUCGCUAAUGUCAUCUAACAUACGAGAACUAACUAGCGUGGUCUGGAUUAAUCAAUGAGCAGCCUCGAUUUGUCGGGAGGAGAAUGUUAGCUUGGUUUAAAUUGUUUUUAUUUGAUAAAUUUUAAUUUGCCGACUUGUAUAGACUUACGGAUGAGCACUGCAGGAUUUAGUAUGGCUAAGACAAGCUACGUUAUGGUCAGCUAACAAGUCAGCAGGUAAAGGGGGCAACAAAUGAGCGAUUAUUUGUGUUGACUGUUGAGCUUUUUGUUUGUUUUUGUGAAAAAAGACAAACUAGUAUUUUUUUUCCUCUCCUUGAACUAACGUGUUGAAAUGUUGCAUUUGCACUUGACAAGUUAGCGUCUUAUUUAUCUGAACUUUCAGUACAAUGAUUAAUGUUGUCGUGAGGAAAGAGUUAGCUGAGCAUGAAAUCCUAUUCUUUUGUUAAAACCGACAUCAACGUUCUUAUCACACUUUUUUUUUUUUUUAAUGGAACCUGAGGUCACAUUAAGCUAAGCUAUCAAAACAGCAAAUGAAGGUUCUGCCUUUGCUAAUCGGUUAGUAUUAAAGUUUUUCUUUUUCUGUUUCGCAAAAAUGACAUUUAUGAAAAUAAACAAGCUAACAGAGAGGCUCGGCCAGAGGGAAUUUCCAAGGCGACUUGUUUCCGACUGUGAUGAUUUUAUUAGUGAUGGAAAGGGGGCUAGGUGCUGCAGAUUGCACUUUUUUUUUCUUUUUACACGCAAUGCAGCUGAUAAUCACAAAGUCCUCACGAUGUUAGGCGGUCUCAAACUGCGAGGGGUUAGCGAUUGCGAAAGCAAUUUGAGUUUUUGUGACUUGUUGGUUUUGUGGAAUAUACCCGGUUUGAACUGUGAAGAAUCUUUUUGUUCUUGUUUUAUUUUGUUGACAAAUAUGCAAAACCGGGAGAAUCAGAAGCGGGUGGGCUCUUGGGAGCAAUGAUGUCACAUGACUUGCGUUUCACUGCAUUACAAUCAGGUUUUAAAGGUUCUAAGCCAGGUUGUGGGGAAAAACACAAACACCCCGCUUUGUUUUCGAAUCCAGCCCACUGAUCAUUUACGUUAUCAUUAAUUAUUGCAUUAAUUUCAGUUUUCCCCCAAAAAUGUAUCAAUGACCAUUUUCAUCUCAUCUAAGAAAGUGGUCAAUAAUUCAUUGGAUAUAAUAUCAAUUCAUAAAUCUAUACGUGUGUGUGUGUGUGUAUGUGUGUGCCCUGAAAUUUACUGGUCAGCAGUCCAGGGUUAACCUUAGGUUAGCCUAGCCUCUUGGCUCAUGUUAUCUUAAAUACUCGUGACCCCAAAUCAAGACAUACUUACAUGGUCCAGCUACUUAUUGUAUUAGUGACUUUGCUUUAGAAAUUACCGUUGUUAUUUUUCUUUCGUUUUGUUAAUAUGUCUGUCUUUAGGAUUCCAACUGGGAUCGACUCCUCACCCUCACUUCAUGCAGUUUCACUCAUUGGAAGUGUAUAUGUUUACAUGCGCAGAACUUUAACUUUCUCUGCCACAGUUCCUCAUAUUCGUGUUCUGUGAUCGUUAUUCAUACUCCCCCACCCCCUGCCCCAAACCUCAAAUCGACUGCCACGGCGCAACCCCUCCCAAGGGAAAAAACAACAAUCAGCUCGAGACACAGUUGUAAUUUAAAUUGUCCACUUUUCUUCACCUUUGUUUUUGGUACCAGUUUUUCCAAACAGCUUCUUAACAUUUAGCCGUGUGUGACUAAAGGAUCCUAACAACUCGUGAGCAUCUCACAUGACUGAAUGAGAGAGACGAACUGCUUUUAACGCUACCCUAGAGGUCCCGAGAAAGAUACUCCUACUUUUUUAGCAUUUAACUACGUGUGACCCAAGUUUGCUACUGUCUUGCGUAAAGCAGGGAUGCUAACAGCUUGCUAAGAUUUAGCCAAAGGUCAUUUUGUUACCCUACGUUGUGCCAAGGGAUUGCUAGUUGGGCUUCGUGUUAAACAUUUAGGUCAGUGAAGAGAUGCCAGACUUUCACAAGUACAACUAAGUGAUGCUAACUCAUGUUAGCAUUUACCUAUUGAUUUCUGAAGAGAUGUCAUUAGUUUGUUAGCAUUUCUACGUGUGACUAAGUGACACUAAAUUCUUGUUACCAUCUCAAAUUAAGCUAUGUUUAUAGAUAAAAUAUCAUUUUCAGAUGCUCACUGCGAGCAUUUCAACCACAAGUUGGUGAGACGAUGCCAACUGUUUGUGUGACCAAGUGAUGCUAACGUCUUACUCACAUCUCGUUAUGUGCCAUAUCAUCAUGAAUGCUAAAAGCUCUUUAGCUUCUUGCCAUGUGAGGCUAAAGGAUGCUCAGUGCUUACUAGUACUUCACCACAGGGCACUGGAGAGAUACCAGCUCCUUAUUCUGGACAUGAAGGAAACUUCGCCUUGUGUUGCUGUACGUCAAUAUAAAGUCUCUUCAAUAUCGCAACAUGUAACCAGAAAAGAGGCGUGGCUUCCUACGAUUGAUAGAAACACCAUUUCUUUUGGCUAUUUUGCAAGCAACCAUUGACGACCAUUUAACUUCUGUUGUUUCUCUAUAGGCCUGCUUGUUGUGGAGGUCCUAAAUCUUGGAAACCCAAACACGAUCGUGCUUGGGUUCAGAACAUCAUGCCGAUUUCCUCGCCCACCAUUCUGAAGGCUUUUUUCAUUUCCCUCUAUUGCGAGUGGAAGAUGCCAAAAAGUGCUCAUAAACAGCGACGCUAAUCUAAUCCUCCAUUGUUCUGUUCAAAAACUCCAGAACGUUGUAUAUGACGGAACAUAUUCUUGAUGCUAAUUGGCUGUUGGGAUACAGCAUCACACAAAUUUGUGGCUCAAGUUGAAGUUUUCCAAUUUCAGCAAAUAGGCGAAGCUGCAAGUUUUCACUUGCUGUGUGGUGAAUAGUUCAGUUGUCACCUGGUUGAAUGCACCGUUUGUGUUACUAAGUGACGCUAACAUUAAUCAAUAUCUCACAUGCCUCAGUUAGGAACUGGAACUGCCUGCCAACAUGUCAUAAAUUACUAAGGUCGUGCCAAUUGCUUAUUAGUUGCUAAGUAUGUUCAUAGUUUUAGUGGUCACGAGAGACUGAACAAAUGGCAAUAGAUUUUUAGCAUUUGGCCACGUGACCAGAGAUUGGCUGCCAGCCAAUUUAGGGUGUACCCCGCCUCCUGCCCGAAAAUAGCUGGGAUAAGCUUAACCACCCCCACAUCCCUUGUGAGGAUAACUGGCUCAGAAAAUUGAUGGAUGGAUGGCCAUGUGACUAAAGGAAUUUAAAGUAGCAGCUAGCUAGGAUCCAUCUUUUUUAACCCAUGAGGUAUUGUAACUUCUUUUUAGCAUUUAGCCAAAUGUCGCUGAAGGGAUGUUGUUUGGCAUUUCUCCAUGUCACUCAAGGAUGUUAACAGGCUGCUAGCAUCUUUUUUACAUUUGGAUUGUAACGGCUUGUUUGCUUUGAAACACACUAAUGGUAUAGCGUCUCUCCGCAUGUCACUAAUCGAUGCUAACAGAUUGCAAUCAUCUUACUGUACCUCAAUUAGGGAUGCUAACGGUUAGCUGAGUGCUACAUGGUGAAGAAACAAAACUGAGCUCGAAUUGAAAAUCAAGAAAAAAAACACAUUGUCUUAGUACCAUUUUUUUUUUAGGUGGAGGGGGUUCAGUUGCGUACACACACACACGACACACACCAAUCGGUGUAAAAGAAUGAAAAGCCAUUGAGACCAAUUUUAGUGGUCUACUCGUACAUAGGCUGCAGAUGACACGUUAACCUCAGGAAAAAAAAAAAAACCCAACACCACAAAGUUUUUGUACAAACUCUCAUUUUCUGCCCUCUUUGAUACCAUUUUCUAUUUAUUGUCUUUCUUAUUCCAUACAACAGUGGACCUAUUGUGUUCAUAGAUUUGAAUGAGACUUUUUUUUGUGUUUUGUCAAAGAGAGCAUAUCGUCAACAAUUUAAUGGUGACUUUUUUUAAAAUGUGGUGUCACUGCGGACAUUUUGUUUUCUCUCGAGACCUCCUGAGAUGUACAACAGCUGAAUAUACUAAUGAUAAUAAAAAAAAAACUGUGCUAAUCACCUCAGCUUUUUUUCUUUUACAAGUAAAAACAAGAAUAUUGACACCCACCCUAUUUUCAUGAUUUUUAGGAACAUAAAAAGGCCAUAAAAAAGAACACUACCAGAAAAAAAAAGUCAUCACAUUCCAAAAAGUGAUUUUAGAAAAAGUCAUGUGGACUACGCUGGGCUGCCACCCGCCGGGCGUCCGGGCCAGAAGUAGCGGGAAAGAGCUGUUGAUUGACGUCAAACCGACGACUCAGCGCAACGCGAAGGUGUCGCCACCCGGAAGUAGGCGCGGCCUCGCUGAAAAGUCCGUGUCGGUCACGCGCACCUGUCAGCGUUCGAAGGCAACGCUCUUUGAAUGACGCGUGUUCACGUGAGAGCCCGAAGCAAACCGGCUCUCACCUCGGAUGUGCUUCCGCAUUCCCAAUGAGGGAAAUAAAAAACCGGCCGGUCCGGUUUAUCCGGAGCCCGCCGCCAAUGCUCGAUCCCGGCCGCCGCGCAGGAGGCGAGCACCGCGGGGCGGCUGCUUGUGCGCUGCGGCGGCCCUCGCUCCUGAGGUCCA